GCCUGGGUGGCUCAGUCAGUUGAGCUUCCGACUUCAGCCCGGGUCAUGAUCUCACGGCUCGUGGGUUUGAGCCCCGCUUCGGGCU
rnacentral:tRNA from 1 species